AAAAAAAAGAACUGACAGAAUCAGCUGUUUUACAAAUGCAGUUUGUUGAUUUUUGCAACUGAAAAUGGCAGAGCAGAAAAAAAAAACAAAAAAAAAAGAUGUCCAAACGAUCUUCUUCAUCAAAAAUCUCUUCUCAACUUUACUAAUUAAGCUAUCUGGAUGCUACUUCGAAGUCGUUUUUUUUCCUUGUAUUUGGUGUCUCAAAGAGGAAGAAACUUUGCAAAACUUUUAUAUAUUCCUCUGUUUUAUGUUAAUGAAUUAAAAUUAUUUAUUUAAAUUGUCA